rnacentral:lncRNA from 1 species
UUUCUAAGACAAAGGUUCAUCAUUAUUUCAUGGAAAAAAAAAUGAGGAGCAUUUGAUGCUAAAGCUUUCUCCUACUUACAUUUAACCGAUUAAAUUUCUAUGUAGAAUUAAUCAAGAGCAAUUAAUUUAUUCGGAAAAAGAAUUAUGGCAUUUUAAUCCAAGGAUGGAAGGUUAGUCUUAAUUCGAAAGAGAUCAAAAAAAAAAAAACUUGCUAUGAAUCAUAUAUGGAAAGGAUUAAGUUUUGAGAUGCCAUGAUUUUGCCAAAAUCUUGUGAGCUUACAUUUCGAGAUGAGGAUUGUUUAGGAGCUCGGGAAUGAUAUGAUGUUUCCAUAUUUUCAUAAUUUGAAACUUUAAGUGAGUUAAUUUCGAGGACAAAAUUAUUUUAAGGGAGGAAGAAUGUGAGACCCAAGCUUUGAACCGAACUGGGCCCGAUCCACUUGACCGGCCCAGCCACCAGUUCUGGCCUCACGUGCGUUGCACGUGAGGGCAUACGGUGAGGAGGUGGAGGGGAUCCAUCCCGAAGAAGCCGGGAUCCCCAGUUUUAGGGCAUUCUCCUCCCCUUUGAGACCACUCGAGGUAGAGCCGCCAUGCCUGAGUUCUUCCUCCUCGGGCUGCCGGCAGAGAGAGAGAGAGAGCGAAAGAGAGAGGGAGAUAGAGGGCUUUGGGUCUUCUUCGGUACAAGGGGUCUUCUUCUUCCUUACCGCCGGAGAGGAAGAAAGCUGCCGGACUUUCGUCGGGGCUGAGGUAAGGCCUUCUCCUCUCUUGGUGAUUAGCCAUGAUGUGUUGAGGUUUUGGAACCGGCCAAUCGCCGGAACUUGGGUCCAAAAAAUCAGUCGGCCGAGUGCUCCGCCGCUAGCCUUGUUCGCCGCCGCCCGCCGCCGGGAGUGGCCGGGCUUAUUCCGCCACCUCCUGCCGCUGUCAGAGCCGGCCACCACGGCCGCCUUUGGGCUCGACCGAGAGGGAAGAAGAAGGGGGCGGGGGGGUCACGGAUCCCCUGUUUCGCCGAAGGGGAAGGAAGAAAGAAAUCGGGAGAAGUUUCUAGAGAAGAAGAGAAGAAAGGAAAAAGGAAAGGAAAGGAAAGAAAAGAAAAAGAAAAAGAAGGAAAAAGAAAAAGAAAAGAAAGAAAAAAAAAGAAAAGAAGGAAAAAUAAAAAAAAAUGAAUAAAGAGAGGGGGUGGUUUAUGGGUAUGAACCCGAACUCGGGGUGCUAGGCACUUCUGUAGGAUCAGCCAUGGGAGAAUAUUAAAAUUUAAGUUUUUGUAUACAUAUAUUGUGAUGAAUUUUAAAAGAAGAAUAUGAUUUUUGGAUAUUAGGUUCUGCGAGGGAUUUACGGAAUUAAUUGGAUUUAUUGUGGAUCGCGUUCACAAGGUAAGUGAUGUAACAUCNNNNNNNNNNNNNNNNNNNNAUAAAGAGAGGGGGUGGUUUAUGGGUAUGAACCCGAACUCGGGGUGCUAGGCACUUCUGUAGGAUCAGCCAUGGGAGAAUAUUAAAAUUUAAGUUUUUGUAUACAUAUAUUGUGAUGAAUUUUAAAAGAAGAAUAUGAUUUUUGGAUAUUAGGUUCUGCGAGGGAUUUACGGAAUUAAUUGGAUUUAUUGUGGAUCGCGUUCACAAG